rnacentral:rRNA from 1 species
CCUACGGGUGGCAGCAGUGAGGAAUAUUGGUCAAUGGACGCAAGUCUGAACCAGCCAUGCCGCGUGAAGGAAGACGGCUCUAUGGGUUGUAAACUGCUUUUGUACGGGGGUAAACGCAGAUACGCGUAUCUGUCUGAAAGUAUCGUACGAAUAAGGAUCGGCUAACUCCGUGCCAGCCGCCGCGGUAAUACGGAGGAUUCAAGCGUUAUCCGGAUUUAUUGGGUUUAAAGGGUGCGUAGGCGGUCGGAUAAGUUAGAGGUGAAAUCCCGAGGCUCAACGUCGGAAUUGCCGCUGAUACUGGUCGGCUAGAGAGUAGUUGCGGUAGGCGGAAUGUAUGGUGUAGCGGUGAAAUGCUUAGAGAUCAUACAGAACACCGAUUGCGAAGGCAGCUUACCAAGCUACUUCUGACGUUGAGGCACGAAAGCGUGGGGAUCAAACAGGAUUAGAUACCCGGGUAGUC